rnacentral:sRNA from 1 species
AAUUUCUGCAUGACUGCUAGACUGAGACGGACGGACAAGAAGCGGUCACAGAUUCUUGAUUAUGACCAAUUAGAAGACAACCCACAAACAAUUUUGAGUUUGAGAACAUAUACAAAUAUAACAGGCAUUGAGUCCUACAUUAUGUGAACCCCUGAGUUAGGGUCGUCGUCCCUGAGGGGUCGGUCUGUCAGGUCCCCGGGGUAACGACCGCCGAGGCCCAUUCAGGGGACGUAGAGGUAGGAAUGUCCAUCAACGUCUCGUCAAAGUCUCGUCAAUGUCUCAGGAAACGCCAAGAAUGUACGACGGUGAAGCCAUCGGGCGCAUGCGCAAACUUCAUGGAAUUCAAGACGGCGGAGCUAACAUCAGUACAUUUUCUUCUGAUGGGCCGAUGCGCCUGAUGCGCCAGACUGCAGAUCGCGAUGAAAACGUCACAUUUAGGAAACUAUUAGCAACACAAAUUGUUUCAUCUUUAUGUCUUCUGAAUCAUCGACGUAAUGUUAAUGUUAUGAUAUUUAGAUUGUAUGAAGGCUGUAAUGAGAUUUGUGGUAUUUGGAUUGUCAUCCCUCCUUGGAAUUCCUGGGGGAGGGGGCGGGGGAGGGUCGUCGUUAAAUGGAUCCAGGAAACAUUGGAUUUUUCUAUGCCGCGCACAUUUCAACCUUCGACGAACUGAUGAUGGAAGAGAGCUGAGGAAUUUCAGGACAAAGUCCCGCUGUCAGACACUAAUAAAGUUGUAUAUUACACCCUCUUAUGCAGCUUAUGUCCGUAACAUUGCUUUAGGGAGAACAAAACAAAAAACAAAGAGGAUGUUCUACUCGUAUCCUGCUUUUCCUUUGGUUCUCGUUAAUGCUCUUCCUAUACAACAAUGGUAAUGAUUAUUAGGAAAUUUCAUUCAUAGGAAAUAUCAUUUGCGUUUAUCCCUUUACUAUUUCGAUAAAACUAUAUUAUAUACAUUGAGAAUAUCAGUUUAUGGCUAUAUGGUCUGAUUACGAUUUCCUUUUAGAUAUUUUGGUCUGGUUCUUGUGUCGACUAUAACACAGGAAGCUAUAAAUUAUUCCACAACUUGUAUUAUUCCGGCGUUACGAAACAGUUUUAGUUUUACAUAGUAUGACGUCAAUCUUGGUGCAUUAUAUGUCUCCCGAUUUUACAACGCUUUUAUCAACAGACUGGAAUCGAUAUUCACAUUCAAGCAAAUGCAUUCGUCUAUUUUGGUCCACAGCAUUGCAAGAAAUAUAAAAGCCGCGGUGGAAGACAUUUUGUUUGCAAUGGCGAGACUAUUACUGUUUCCAGACGGAGUAAUUAAGCUUAUAUAUAUCUUUAUUGAUAAUUUUUCUUUAGGUUAAAUCUUCUGCGCAACAAAGCAACUACGUAUGUGCCAUCAUUGCCCCAGGGGGUGUUCCUCGGGGUCGAAACAAUUGCUGCAUUUGUUUCGUUUCCGAAAUUAAGAUUUUAAAAAUUGUAAAAUACAUGUACAUGUGCAUAUCAUGAUGGGAUGCAGUGUGAAAAUCUUUAUUCAAAGCUCUUAGAAAUGUAAUUCUAUAAAUUGUAUAUUCCCGAAAUAUAGGUUAAACAGUGUCAAUAGCCAUGUGCGUUCAUAAGUUCGCAGUGUUACAUUUCAUUUUUUCAGUAAACUCGUAAUUUGU